AGGGAAAAUAUGCCCCAGUCCGUUCCAUUGUGAUGAUUCUACUUCUAAGUUCUUUACCAACAAAUGUUUUUCUAAGGAUAAGGACACAAUGGUCACUAGUUACAAAGAUAUUUUGACCGUAUGGGACGUUGAGAAAGAUUACACUGCCUUUUACUACAAAACGUUGACUAGUAUGAAUGCUCAAGUAAAUUUUAACGAGAAAUAUUAAAGCAAUUAUAUAGUAAACCAAACCACCUGCACCACUAAAUGUGAAGAAACAUG